AGAGUUUGAUCCUGGCUCAGGAUGAACGCUAGCGGCAGGCUUAAUACAUGCAAGUCGAGGGAUAAGUAGUUUUCGGACUAUGAAGACCGGCGAACGGGUGCGUAACGCGUACACAACAUACCUAAUACUGGAGCAUAGCCUCGGGAAACUGGGAGUAAUUCUCCAUAGCAUUUCGAAGUGGCAUCACUUUGAAAUUAAAGCUCAGGCGGUAUUAGAUUGGUGUGCGUAUGAUUAGGUAGUUGGUAGGGUAACGGCCUACCAAGCCGACGAUCAUUAGCUGGCGUGAGAGCGCGACCAGCCACACUGGAACUGAGACACGGUCCAGACUCCUACGGGAGGCAGCAGUAGGGAAUAUUGGACAAUGGGCGAAAGCCUGAUCCAGCCAUGCCGCGUGGUAGAUGAAGGCCCUCUGGGUUGUAAAUACCUUUUAUCUGGGAAGAAAUAUCUCGUUCUCGAGAAACUGACGGUACCAGAUGAAUAAGCACCGGCUAACUCCGUGCCAGCAGCCGCGGUAAUACGGAGGGUGCAAGCGUUAUCCGGAUUCACUGGGUUUAAAGGGUGCGUAGGCGGAAUUGUAAGUCAGUGGUGAAAGCCCCGAGCUUAACUUGGGAACUGCAGGUCGAACUGCUUAGCUAGAGUAUGGUAGAGGGGUGUGGAAUUUCCUGUGUAGCGGUGAAAUGCGUAGAUAUAGGAAGGAACAUCAGUGGCGAAGGCGACACCCUGGACCGAUACUGACACUGAGGCGCGAAAGCGUGGGUAGCGAACAGGAUUAGAUACCCCGGUAGU
rnacentral:rRNA from 1 species